CAGUACGGCUGGUAUGAAUUUGUUAAUUGCACUAGUGAAUUCAUAUAUUAUAAGUAACUAGUUAAUUCACGACACCGCCGUAAUGCAGAGAAGCAGUAGUACAGGAGAGAGAUUGUGAGAGAAGAGAGCAUGAUCUACAGCACGCAAUUUUUUCAAUAUGUACUCUCAGUAGAAUAUCAGCGAAAAAUAAGGGUGGAAUGCAAAUUUGAGAAAACCUAGUCGUUACAGUAAGCACAGUUUGAUAAAAACGCUUGUAUUAUUACCGCAUUUACAUACAUGUCGAUCAUGAAAAGCAUGAUUCACUGUAAAAAAACUUCUAAAUUUCGCGACAAAUGUUUACCGUUACAUAUGGAGACAGCGUUUUAUUUGUAAUUUUCAAGUUGUACUUUUUCGGCAUUAUAGUUUCAUGCAACAUCGCGUCGUGUUUGGUAAUUAAAUUUUUGAUUAUUAAUAUUUUAAACCGUUUAAAUAAAAAGUGAAUAAAGGUGAGAAAAUGUAUAAAGGCAUUUGAAGCGCCUUCAAUACGCGGAAAGGAAAAAAUAUUGAAAAUCGCGGAAAAAACGGACGAAACUGUGAAGAUUAAAAAAAUAAAAAAUGUGAAAAGGAUGAGCAAGUGGUAGAAAUAGAAGAAAGUGUUUUAAACAGUGAGAUAGAUUUAGAGGCCAGAGAAUUCCAGAAAAAUAUAGCUUAAAUACAUAGGAAAUGUAUGUACAUAUAUGUAUAACUAAAUAUAAUUAUUUCAAUACUUUAAGAUUGAACUUUUACAAUAUUUCAGCUAAAGACAGAAAGGAAUGCAAUUGUCAGAUGUUCUAAAAACGCAUAGAAGAGUAUAUAAUUAUAAUAACUAUAAUUAUUCUUCAUAAUUUUUUUAGAAACAAUGCUACAGGAUAACAAGCUUUUAAGAGAUCAACUCCGAAUUUGCAUGGAAGCAGUAGUCGAUAUGAAAGUAGUUGUAAAUAAGUGGAAUCGCCACAUUGCUGAGGAAACUGUUUUAACAGCAAAAUUUCCAUUGUCAAGUGUGGAGGAGGUAGAUGUCUAAAUGCAGAAAUAAAUAACGACAAUCGCGAAUGAAUGGUCAAUCUUUGCAUCUUAAUUCCUUUAUAAUAAUUACUUUUCUUUUCAGGUAAAAACUAUGAAAUCCCUUUUUAGACCGGUAGGGGUGGUUAAAAAUCUUAAAGAGAUAUUGACGGACGCUGUUGUCCAAGAAUAUAAUAUUGAUGGAAUUCAUGGAAAAAAAUCUUUAAGAAGUCUGGAGAAUUUUUACUCCCUAAAUAGAAUCAAUUCCAGUUAGCGAUGACUUCGAGCCGGCCGAAAAACAAUUGCGCAAAGCAAUUCAGCUACAAAAAAUAGAAUAAACAUAGUGUAAAUAAAAAUAAA